AUGAACGCUGGCGGCGUGCCUAAUCCAUGCAAGUCGAGCGAACAGACGAGGAGCUUGCUCCUCUGACGUUAGCGGCGGACGGGUGAGUAACACGUGGAUAACCUACCUAUAAGACUGGGAUAACUUCGGGAAACCGGAGCUAAUACCGGAUAAUAUAUUGAACCGCAUGGUUCAAUAGUGAAAGACGGUUUUGCUGUCACUUAUAGAUGGAUCCGCGCCGCAUUAGCUAGUUGGUAAGGUAACGGCUUACCAAGGCAACGAUGCGUAGCCGACCUGAGAGGGUGAUCGGCCACACUGGAACUGAGACACGGUCCAGACUCCUACGGGAGGCAGCAGUAGGGAAUCUUCCGCAAUGGGCGAAAGCCUGACGGAGCAACGCCGCGUGAGUGAUGAAGGUCUUCGGAUCGUAAAACUCUGUUAUUAGGGAAGAACAAAUGUGUAAGUAACUAUGCACGUCUUGACGAUACCUAAUCAGAAAGCCACGGCUAACUACGUG
rnacentral:rRNA from 1 species